ensembl:lncRNA
CCAACCUUGAGCAAAGGGCACUUUGGGGACAUAGGACUAACCCACUGAGUCCAAGUCAGGGCUGUGCAUCUGUAGAAUAAUCUGGAAUCAGCCAAGCACUAAGUAGUUGGGGACCACACUUGUCUCCCUAUAUCUACAACCCAGUAUGCUGAAAGUUGAAUGACACAAACACCAUAAAGAGAAGCAAGAGUCAAUGUUUAAUUGCUAGUGUAUUUAUUGGUAUUGUAAAGAAACAAUGGAGUAGAUCAAGAGGUAAGAACUGUCCCAACAUCCAGGUCCCUGUGAGGACUUCAAGGUUGCCUCCUGAAUGCCCAUCUUCUUUUUUAUGCACUGAAAGAAGAAAUGAAGAGGCUUAGAGGAGAUGAACCUUGCCUGAUUUGGUUCAUUGGCUAAUGGCAAUGGCAGUGGCGAUGACAAAGUCACACAUUACAGUAAUUUUAAAAAGAAAAUACAACAAAAAUUUUAGAGAGACUCUGGGCAGCAUAAAGUAGAGGGGGAAAAGAAUAGCUGAAGUUUUCAUCUCUCUCUCUCUUCUUCCCUCUCUCUGAAUCUCUGGCUCUGGCUCUGUCUGCCUCUCCCUUUCUCUAUCUCUGUGUCUCUUUCUUACUCUCUCUGACUCUAUCAGGGAAGAUGGUGCAUAGAUAAGCAAAGGUGAGCAAAUAGUAGUGGGAAAACAAGAGUGAUGAAGAAUCAAACUAGUAGAAAAGAUGAAACAGUUCUAAAACAUUUUGGGACAUAUGAUGUCAGCUGACAGUGAGUUCAUAUGCAAACAUGAGCAUUGGUUAACUGACAAGAAAAAUGAAAUACCUUGGGGGUGGGGAGGGUGAACAACUUCUUCACUGGCCACCUGGAGAGUCUCCCUCCUGGCCACCUUGAGGGUCUUCCUGCUGGCCACCUUGAGAACCUCCCUGCUGGCCACCUGGAGGGCCUCCCUGCUGGCCACCUGGAGGGCCUCCCUGCUGGCCACCUGGAGGGCCUCCCUGCUGGCCACCUGGAGGGCCACCCUGCUGGCCUCCUUGCUGACCUCCUUGUGGACCACCUGGAGGACCUCCUUGCUGACCUCCUUGUGGACCACCCAGACGGCCUCCUUGCUGACCUCCUUGCUGUCCUCCUGGAGGGCCUCCCUGCUGUCCACCUGGAGGACCUCCUUGCUGUCCACCUGGAGGACCUCCUUGCUGUCCACCUGGAGGUCCAGGUUUCUUCUUAUCACUUUGUUGCUGGCCAGGGUUCUGAUCAUCUUGCUGGGAGUCAUUUGGUUCUGGUACAUCUACUGGAUCUUCUGAAUUUUGUUCAUCCUCUAAGGGGAGACAGUACACAUAUGAAAAAGACAGAUGAAAGGAAAGGCCUGAUAUGUGGUGAGCACAGACAGAAUGCUUUGUGUCACAGGGUAAUUGUCCAAAGAAGGGAGCUUUGCUACCUUCUUAGUACAAUUAAAUGAGAGUGACCCAGGCUUACCUGGUAGAUGUCUAAUAAGGAUCUACAAGAUCCAGGCUUGUCCCAGGCUCAGAGCAAGCCUGGAUGGAUUUAUGUAAUGGAUGAUCAUAUAAAUGAUUGGCAGGGAACAGGCCUGGCAUGGACCCAUAUAAUGACACCAGCAGAAAGCAAUGGCAGCUUGCUGUAUCAAAAGUUUGAAUUAUCCCUCUAUAUGUGUCUUGGUCACUCAUGUGUUUCCCUUCAUUUGUGAAUGCCCUCAUGUUCUCUAUGUAUCCAUAGCUCCUACAUAUUUCUUAUAAAGGUCCACUCUUCUACUUAGUUUAAAUGAAGGAAUUCAAGCUUCAUGCAACUAUGAAAAUAUUUACUUUACAUCGUAUUUUUUUUUGAAAGGCAAUUUGGGUUAAGUGACUUGCCCAAGGUCACACAGCU